CCCUUCUUCUCUUCCAGGUUUCCAAAAUGCCUUUCCAGGCUAGAACCCAGGCCUAUGAUCUGCUGGCCGGACACAACACCAGCUCAGACAUUCUUCAUAUGUGGAACAUUUAAAAUUUCUCUGACAGCUAUUUUGAAAUAUUCAGGGCACUGCACAACCAAACCUGAGCUGAACUUCAAGUUAGAGCAUGGAUUUGGGCCUUAGAGUAAAGCAGAAGCCUCCUUCUGGAACUUUCCAGGUGUUUUAUAUAUAGUACCUGUCCCAGUUGAGACCAUCCAGGCAAAUGAAGAGAGACACUGGUAUGAAGUGAAAACCAUCAGCAGUGAUACAUAAAGAGAAGCACAGCUCAAGGUUCAACAGAAGAUCCAGCAAGGGGAAAACCCUAUUCCUGUGUGGAAGCAUACUGCCAAUGGCCACAGCAUGAAAGGAAUCAUACAUGCAGGGAAAAGUGUGGGUGUGGAAAAGUCACAAACAGUACCUGAAGAUGAGCCUGCUUAUACAUAAAACUGAAAUGCAUCAGAAUCUGUCUAGUGUGGAGAGGGUGUCAGCCCCCUACACAUCCCAUCCAUUGACAGAGAUGUGUUGAUAUCUACAUGCCACGCUAAUCUCUCCAAAUGUUUUACAACAUGGAGAUCCAAUAAAGCCUUUUCUAAAUAUCUCUAUAUACUUGUGGUUGUCUCAGGUAGAGAGAACUGUGUUGGUGGCAGAAAGAAGAGACAACUCAGCAAUUAGAAUGUGCCAGAAGAGUUAGUGAGCAGCCAGGAGAAGUGAAGACUCCGAGAUUUCUGAAGACAGGAAUGUAGGAGAGAGGGUGAAGUGCAAGUGGACUAUGCCACCAGACAGAAGCACUGGUAAGGCUGAGUGAGCCAAACCCUGUGAAUCUCAGGAUUGAGAACAGUAGGAGUGGGGCCACUCCCUGCCUCACUCUACCUGCUCUGGAACAGUAACCACAACACCCCACUGAGAGGACCACGGCAGUCAGUCGUGCAGCAUAAAAUCCUGGAGUUCUCCGUGCUAAUGAGGUAUCUAGAUAGGCUCUGAGUGUUCUGCCAAUGAGCUUCCAUUCUUGGGCAUUCCUUCUAGCAAAAGGUAUUUAAUCCCUGGUUUACCCUGAGUAAGGGCAUACACAUUCACAUUCACCAUCUAAUAAAGCACUUUGAACGAGCAAGAUCUGUCUCUUGCUUAAGGAUCACCGAAAUCUUUGGGAGAAGGCCUUCUCUCUUCCAGCCCCUCCUUACCCUUGGCACUCACUCAAGACCGAACUGGGUUCUGUCCCUGUCCUGGGUUCUGCCUCCC